rnacentral:rRNA from 1 species
AUUGAACGCUGGCGGCAUGCCUUACACAUGCAAGUCGAACGGUAACAGGUUAAGCUGACGAGUGGCGAACGGGUGAGUAAUAUAUCGGAACGUGCCCAGUCGUGGGGGAUAACGUAGCGAAAGCUACGCUAAUACCGCAUACGAUCUACGGAUGAGAGCGGGGGAUCGCAAGACCUCGCGCGAUUGGAGCGGCCGAUAGCAGAUUAGGUUGUUGGUGAGGUAAAGGCUCACCAAGCCUGCGAUCUGUAGCUGGUCUGAGAGGACGACCAGCCACACUGGAACUGAGACACGGUCCAGACUCCUACGGGAGGCAGCAGUGGGGAAUUUUGGACAAUGGACGCAAGUCUGAUCCAGCAAUGCCGCGUGCAGGACGAAGGCCUUCGGGUUGUAAACUGCUUUUGUACGGAACGAAACGGCGAGCUCUAAUACAGUUUGCUAAUGACGGUACCGUAAGAAUAAGCACCGGCUAACUACGUGCCAGCCGCCGCGGUAA